CACAGCUCCCCCUCAAUUAACCUUUUAAUUAGGACNCAAAUUCAAAACCCAUUAAAACUAUUGAGUAUUCCUAUACGUUUAUAGGAGAAUUAAUGCUAGAACUAGUAACUCAGAAUUAAACAUUCUCUUAAUGUAAGUGUAAAUCAGAUUGAAUAAAUCACUGAUAAUUAACAGCCUUACAGAAAGCAAUGUAACAACUCACCAAGAAAACCUUACAUCAAAAACUGUUAAUCUUACACAAGAACACACCAAGAAAGAUUAAAAGAUAUAGAAGGAACUCGGCAAAUCUAGGUCCCGCCUGUUUACCAAAAACAUCGCCUCUUGCCCAAUCUGUAUAAGAGGUCCCGCCUGCCCAGUGACAUCAUGUUUAACGGCCGCGGUAUU
rnacentral:rRNA from 1 species